CUCGACUCGACUGCCAGCGCCAGCCCACGCCCACUAUUGUGAUGUGCUAUGGUGUUGCUGUUGAAUCAAGAACCCGAUUACUUCAAGACUUCUACACCAAAAAAUAUUUAUUCAACGACUAUAAAACCUUCUAAACUUAACCCCUUCCUACUCCCUACUCCUAAAACCACAACCUGAGAAUUCAUAAUUUUGCAUUAAACUGCUUAUAGACUACUGCUAAUAACAUUUUCAAGUAUCUAGGGCCCACAGUUUGAACUUAGAUUUGUAACUCAAUAAAAUUGUUAAUGUGAUUCAUUUUUAGUUCUA